rnacentral:rRNA from 1 species
GACAGAGGUGCCAAGCGUUAGGCGGAAUCAUUGGGCGUAAAGCGCACGUAGGCGGUUCGUUAUGUCGGAUGUGAAAGCCCUUGGCUUAACCGAGGAAGUGCAUCCGAAACUGGCGAGCUAGAGUACUAAAGAGGAUCGCGGAAUUCCCGGUGUAGAGGUGAAAUUCGUAGAUAUCGGGAGGAACACCGGUGGCGAAGGCGGCGAUCUGGGUAGAUACUGACGCUGAGGUGCGAAAGCGUGGGGAGCAAACAGG